UGGUUUAAUUUGAACUCUUUCUAUUUAACUCUUGAUUCUUACCUCUUUAUUCGCUUUGACUGAAUGUUUUACCUUAAUUGCUUUUCAUGCCUUGUUUGUAUUCACUGAUUAUUACUGAUUUAUUUCCUUAAGUACACUCCUGUGCAUUUACCCUUAAUUACCUAUUCAAUACCUAAACUUACUUUAUUCUUUUCCUUAAAUAUUAGUAUGUGUUACCAAUGAUUGAACUGCCCCUUGAUUAAAGGAAGAUCUUGCUGAUUUACGUGGGACUUUCUUGAUUUACUACUUAAUUAAUCUAUUACCUUAUAUGUCAAGCUUUUGAUUAUUAUAUAAACCUCAUUCUUCUUUUAAGUUCUAAACAAUAUAACAAAAAAAAUACGAGACUAGUUUAUAACCUCUCUCUAUACUUACAACUUUCUGUUUUUUUCCUAUUACUUGCUACUUCCAUUGAACUAGCCGGCUGUAAUCCCAGGCUAGUUAUUUUACUACACUGCUCUAUACUUUGUGUCUGCUCUCCUUAACUGGUAUGUCCUGAUUUAAUUAUAAGUUCAAUACUCUACGUGUUCUAUUACUGCAAUAGUUUACUGAUUCCUGUCUAUUACUUGGAUUUUUAAUAUGUAACUAGCAUGCUUAAAUCCUAGUUUCACUUAGCAUAUAUGAGGUCUACCUGUCCAACUUAUGAUCAACAUGUCUAAUGACUUGUCCUUUGCUUUCUAUAGCAUGUCUCAAUCUGACUCUACUCCAUGUGUAUAUGUUUGAUUGCCUAUCUGUUUGUUUAACCAAUCCCUGAUAGUAAUCCACUUUGCUCUGAUAUUAGCUAGCCCUAAGUACUUUUGACCCUAUGUCCAACUCUUCCUGGUAUAACUAUGUUGUCAAUUGUUUUUAGCUAUAUCUGUUCUUUAGCUUUGUAAUUGACUCUUAAACCCUAUAGGAAACUAUGAAAAAAGAAACUUCUGUGCUCUUGUUGUUAUAUUAAUAUGUUCAAUGUGUUCCCAAUUACCAUAUUUCUUGAGUAAAAUCUGUGUGUGAAUGGUUUGAUGAUUUCUUACAAGUUCACUAUUUUCAAAACUGUUUUAUUACUAAUCAAUUCCUACUUUUUAUAAAACUUUCCUACUUAAUUGAUCCCUUUCAACACUGUUUUUCAUAUCAAAACCUUUUCAAAAUUAUGUCAUAAAGUCUCAUAUUACUCCUAGAUGAUUAGGUUCUGUGCCUCUACCAUGUGUAGUACCGUGAGAUCCCUGAGAUCUCUCUGAACUCUAGCAUGUCAGAUCUGACUUUUUCAUACUGCACCUAAGUCAGUUAUGGCUUGAGAAAAGGUCUAGGUGUGAGCACUACCGGGGAUCCUUGAGGUCCUUAGGGAACUCUAACACACCAAGACAUGAUACUGUCUAUGGAACUUUGCCAUUUGAGGCUAUUGGAGGCUUAGGAAAGUCAUUUGGGCCUGCUUCAGGCUCCCUAUAGUUAACUUCUUCUGUUUUCUUUUUUUGUUUAUGUUCAUCACAGUCUGUAAUAAUAUUUUGUAAACAAUAUUUGGGUGAUUAGUAAAAGGGGUGGGUAGCUAUAUACGUGUUGGAUAAAUCGGGUAGAUGCCAUGCCUAUAGAUUGUGUUAAUACAUUUGCUAUGUUUUCU
rnacentral:lncRNA from 1 species